UACAGAGGGGGCAAGCGUUGUUCGGAAUUACUGGGCGUAAAGGGCGCGUAGGCGGCCUGCUAAGUCGAACGUGAAAUCCCCGGGCUCAACCCGGGAACUGCGUCCGAUACUGGCAGGCUUGAAUCCGGGAGAGGGAUGCGGAAUUCCAGGUGUAGCGGUGAAAUGCGUAGAUAUCUGGAGGAACACCGGUGGCGAAGGCGGCAUCCUGGACCGGCAUUGACGCUGAGGCGCGAAAGCGUGGGGAGCGAACAGG
rnacentral:rRNA from 1 species